CCGUGUAUAUAAUGUCUUCUGCAAUUUCCACAGUAUGCAUCCGAUGAAGUGAGCUGUAGCUCACGAAAGCUCAUGCUCAAAUAAAUUGGUUAGUCUCUAAGGUGCCACAAGUCCUCCUUUUCUACUUACUACUUGAUAACCAGCCCACCCACAAAUCAAUGACUAGAGCGGAAUCAUUCAAAGCGUUCCCAGUGAAGUACAACUGGAGCACAGUUCUGGUGUCCAGAAAAAGUGUUUGAACAGGGUAAGAUAUUUGGUCAGUUACUUUACAACAUACUGGUGUUUAGAAACUUCAAGUUCUGGUACAAUUUCACCAGCAACUUUGCAAUCCUACCAAAGCUCCCCAACUUAAAUGUUUGACAUCCAUUAGGCAAUUUUCAUAAAAGUAAUCUUCCUGACCUAGUUUCACAAACAGAUUCCAAGGCCAGAUGGGACCACUGUGAUCAUGUAGGGAGUCUGACUUCCUGUAGAACAUGUCAGAUCUUUCCUAUCCAGUGUUGAUUUUCAAAAUGGUCAGUGAAGAAGAAUCCACCACAAUGGUAAAUUACUCAUCAUUAAAACUUUACACCUUAUUUCCAGGCAGAAGUUGGCUAGCUUCAAAUUGCAACCAUUGGACAAUGUUAUACCUUUCUUAGCUAGAUUGAAGUUAUUAAAUAUUUGUUGCCCAGGGCUCCUUUCUCUCCAAUUUGUCAACAUCCUUCUUGAAUUGCACCAGAAUUAGACACUGUAUUCCAGCAGCAGUCACAUCAGUGCCAAAUACAAAGGUAAAAUAACCUCCUGUUCUUACUCAGGAGUCCUGGAAGCAGUGACUGAAAAAGAUAGUCUGCCAUCCUGCAAGUAUGGCCCAACAGUUCUUUAAAAGCUCUGCAGAAGUAAACGAUUAGCCACAAAGAGGAUUCAGGAAUGCUACUACUGCUAAAGAAGCUGUAGCAUCUCUGAAGUCUCUAGCCCUUGCCUUAGUCACGUCAAAACAUUUGUCACUUUAACCAAAUGUUCUGACAUUCCCUUUGAAUGUAAAUCCAUUCAAGUUUACUUACUGUGGCUUUGUCUGCUAUUCUCAGGCUUGUAGUUCCCAAAGGAUGCAGCUCAAGUUCUGUCUUCAGCAUCCACUGAAGGAGAUGUAGCAGUUAGGAAUUACAAGUCCAUCGCGCUACUGAAACUCAUCUUAAAAUAGUGCAUGUCACCUGUUGGUUGUCCACUAUUCUCAAAAUAUAUCUGAAAGUUAAAAUUACUUAAAUCUUAUAAAAGAUAGUAUACAAAACUUGAAGGGGGAAGGAGUGAAAGAGACAUGGCCAACCGUAAGUUUGGAUUUCCCACACAAUUGUUUUUGAAACUGCAAUAUUCUGGGAGACGACAUUGCAGCUUCACAAUUUUUCCCUUUUGUCUGGUCCUAUAUGGGAACAGCAAUUUCAGAGUUACCUAGUUUAAAAGAAGUUGGCCCUCAAUUAAGCUGAGCAAACAUUUGAAUUCAGCUAGGCCUCAUUCUUGUGUCCUGUGUAUUUGUAUCUUUGAAAGUACCCAGAAAGCUUGACUCUACAGUUCACUGGAAGGGUUAUCACCACCAGAAUUGCACUAAGCCAUCUCAGGCUGGGAUCUUCUUAACUUCAGCCCUCAGCUUGUUGAACGCCAAGUGCAGUGCAAAGGGAAAGUUCAUUAUUUAUAUACUGAAAUUUGGGACAUUAGUACUUUAACUGAGGGCUUUGAGACUGCACUGGAACACAAAGUACUUAGAGAAAUGUCAGUUUAUGAAUAGCACGGCUGCAAUCAUAACAAAAACUCUGUUGUGACAUUACACAAGAUUUUAGGCCUGAAUUUAGCAGAAUAUCUUUACCACCACCACCACUUAAAGAUUUCAGUUCACAUUUUCAGCUAAACAUUAGCUAUAUAUUUGAUCUGCACAAAUCAUUACCUGUCAUUCGGAUGAAACAGAACUUCAUACUAAAAGUCUUUAAUAACACCAAGCAGAAGAGAAGAGACUGUAAAAGUAAAGAUAUUCAAGAACCCCAGUGAAAUCAGAAUGUUAAUACUGGUGUCUAAAAUAUCCAACUGCUUAUAACCAAACCAGAUUGGGAGGAUCACUAUUUUGAGAAAAUAAGGUCAAAAAUCACAUGGCAAAUGCACUGCUUUAAUACUGGCAUGUUAUUAAGAAAGUCAUAUAAAAGAGACUCAAGUAUUCAGUACAUUACAUAUUUCUACAGCAUGCACUUACCACAUUAACAGCAGCAAAGGUCAAGCAGGGUUACUUUUUAAAAGUCAUUAAGGGUCUUCCCAUAGAGUUUUAUAAACAGUAUUAAUGUACAUAUAGAGCUGAAAAAACAUGACAUUUGUUUCUCCCCCCCUCCCCAAAAAAUAUAUACAGCUAGCCAUUUUCAUUAAUAAAUUUAUUCUGUCCUGCUGAACCCUGAAAAGAGGGAAUGUCUGGCACAAAAAAAAAAAAAAUCUACAAAUGGAGAACAAAGAACUUUUAAAAGUAACUUUUGAAGUAAGAUUAUAAAAACAUUUAUGAAAAAGAUAAAACUUACAGCAAUUGAAGUGGUUUACACAUUUGGGGUGGCAUGGUUGCAUUUGUCUCAAACCAACUUACCAAUAUUUGUGGGUGCCUAAAAGCAUUGACAUUAAAAUCAAUCAAAAGCUAAAAUAUAAAUAAAACUUGAAGAGGUGCUCCAAGAACAGCUCAAUAAAGCAAUUCACCGUAACUCAGUAGACAUAAUCCAUAAAAAUAAUAGUUUCCCAUGAGUAUCAGGGAAGUAGGCACUAACUGGAAAACACUCUGAGUCUUGGUGUUGCAGUUUGUAACUGAAAGUCCAUCUCUUGUUACUACUGUGCCAUACUCCAUACCUUUUAAAAAUGUACCCCAAAAAUUUCUUUGAAAGUAUGUAAAAACUGUUACGUUGUCUUUCUGAAUCCCUUUAAAAUUGGAUAUAUAUUUUCAAAUGCUUCAUAAAUUUCUGCUCUGACUUUAGCACCUAGAAACAAAAAAAUUAGAAAGUACAUUUUGUGACAGUUAUAACGUACUUAUAUUUCACAAUUAAUUAGUUUUGAUCCAGAUACUGUACAGAUGAGGCAGCUUCCAAUCGCACUUACACUAUCUCUUCCCUGUUUGCCCUCUUUCCCUACACUAUUGGGAUUGCUUUAGAUUUGCAAUUUUUGUUGGCUUGUUUUCUGUUAUCAUGAUUGAAUAGUUUCAUACGUCUAAUAGAGUAUAAUUGUAUUUAUACCUGAGUGUUGAAUACUUGUAGUUUAUAGAUUUCCAGUAGGCAUUUCCUUGUUAUAACUUCAUAUAAUUUUAUUCAGAAGAAAGGCUUUUAGAACACAGUGUAAAAAUAACUAUAGCCUAUAACCCAUUUUUGCUCUCAGCAUGUCCACCACACCAACAAACUGAGUAGUAAAUAAUACACAAAUGAAACUUCAGAAUUUAAAACCUUUCCAAAUCAGAGAAGUGUAGUUUAGCAUUCUAAAGACACUCCAACUAAGAAAGAUGUAUGUUCCUGGUUUUGUAGCCUAACCCUAGACUGUUAAAAGCAUCAAUGUUGGCUUGGUUACUUACCAGUUAAAACCACCUUUCCAGAAACAAAAAUAAGCAGGACAAUUCUUGGCUUUAUCAUUCGGUAGAUUAAGCCAGGAAACAACUCUGGCUCAUAACUGAAAGGAAAGAGAGAAGGUCAAGCAAAUGCACAAACUAAUCUGAAAGUGAUGUUAGCUGAUCAGAUUCACUCUCCCCAUGUUUAGCAACAGAAAACAGCUAUCCCACCUUCACCUUUUUUUUUUUUUUUGGGCGGGGGGCGGCGGGGGGGGGGGAGAAGGCUCCACAAAGGUUUAGUGGGAAGGAUUUGCCUCUGGUUUUGUCAGCCAGAUGCUAAGGAACAAGAGGAAUCAAGGUGUAGGAUACUCCCAAUCUGCAACGGAACAAUCUAACCAGUACAGUACACCCUUUGAGAUCACUAGGUCAAGUGUUCAGCAAUAAUGAAUCAUACUAAGCUUUUUUAUUUACCUGCUAAACUGUUGAUGUGUAAGUACCAAUCCCUCUAAUCUGAUAGGAAAUUUCACAUCACAGCUUCCCACCAUGUUCUGAAUCUUAAAAUCCAAGAAUUUUGCUGGAAAGCCCAAUUUUUGAACAACUCUGGCAUAUUUCCUUGCUGCCAAUCUGGACUGCUCCUCGCUGAAGGGAGAGAAGACAUUCAUUGUAUUCCCUCAUGUUUCAGAGUAGCAGCCGUGUUAGUCUGUAUUCGCAAAAAGAAAAGGAGGACUUGUGGCACCUUAGAGACUAACCAAUUUAUUUGAGCAUAAGCUUUCGUGAGCUACAGCUCACUUCAUCGGAUGCAUGCAGUACUUCAACCCAAACCUUAAAUAAGAGAACACCCUUAUUUUGAAGGGUCACUACAAAUUUAACACAACAAUUCUUCUUUCUCCCAAGCUCAUUCUUUUUCGUCACAUGCCUUGGGGCCUAUUGCUCAUGCUAAUAACUCAAUUUAAAAUCAUCAUUCACCCGAUCUAAUGUGGAGCUAUUAUCCUACAACCACACUACACUUCCUUGUAAAUGCAGAUGAAUGGCUUGAAAGCUAGAGAUACUAUAAAUUCCUUAAAAGGUUUUUAGAUUAAACAAUAAAGGUUGAUAAACAUUGUUUUGAUGAUAAUUCAGAGUGUAUAACAAAUCCCUCAUCUUGAUUAUCCAAGUUCAAACUUUACGUAGCCUACCUACCUUAAAAACAACAAUAGCAUCAUGCUGUUGCCCCAAACUACUCUUGCUGAGGUCACAUCCCACUUACAUGUGGUUGUGUAACUAAUGUUUUGCCUUUAUGGAAAUAAGCUAUAGUACAACUAUG